CACGAAAGAGAUAUGGAUUUUUUCUCAUCUUCAUUGGUAUCAUCGAGACAUUUGAUUAAGACCAGAAAAUGGCUACGGCUACGUCUCACCAAUCAAUCGUUUCAUUUGCUUCACACCGGUCACCUUCUUCUUCUUCGUCCUCAAUCUCUCAAUGUUUAUUACUAGAGCCUCUGUUGAAUUUGCCAAUCUCUAAAGGACUCAAGAUCCAUUCUUCACUGAGUUGUAAUAAUAAUAAUAACACCUCCAAAAAGAAAAACCUUUGCAAGAUUGAAGCUAUGGCUUCUUCUACGACUGGGACAUUUGUUUCUUCUUAUAACAACAACACUCUCUUGUCUCCUUCCAAGAACGUACCUGACAUUUCAAGAAAAAAUCAAAUGAAGCAGCUUUGAUAUUGAUUAGGCAUGGAGAAUCUUUAUGGAAUGAGAAGAAUCUUUUUACGGGUUGUGUUGAUGUGCCAUUGACAGAGAAAUGUGUUGAAAAUAAGAAAAGAGGAAGAAGAAGAUAGAAACGACGUCGUUUCGACGUAAAGAACCACUCUCUUUUGUCUAUCCAAAACAACGUCGUUUAUUACGUGGCUUCCACGUAAGCAGCCGCUAACGGUUGUUUAACACCGUCACGGCUUGUAUAUGUUUUUACACAAUUUCUCGAGUUGAUGCAGCAAAUUUGAAUUUUAUCUAA